rnacentral:tRNA from 1 species
GCCUGAGUGGCUCAGUCGGUUAAGCGUCUGACUUCGGCUCAGGUCAUGAUCUCACGGUUUGUGGGUUCGAGCCCCGCAUCGGGCU